rnacentral:rRNA from 1 species
CAGCGCCACGAGUGGGGGUCACGAUUAUUGGGCCUAAAGCGUCCGUAGCCGGUUCAGCAAAUCCUUUGUGAAAUCGUUGGGCUCAACCCAACGGCGUGCAGGGGACACUACUGAGCUAGGGACCGGGAGGGGUUGGAGGUAUUUCUGAGGGAGCGGUAAAAUGCUAUAAUCUCAGGAGGACCACCUGUGGCGAAGGCGUCCAACCAGAACGGAUCCGACGGUGAGGGACGAAAGCUAGGGGAGCGAACCGGAUUAGAUACCCGAGUAGUCC